AUUGAACGCUGGCGGCAUGCUUUACACAUGCAAGUCGAACGGUAACAGGUUAAGCUGACGAGUGGCGAACGGGUGAGUAAUGCAUCGGAACGUGCCCGAUCGUGGGGGAUAACGCAGCGAAAGCUGCUCUAAUACCGCAUACGAUCUGAGGAUGAAAGCGGGGGACCGUAAGGCCUCGCGCGAUCGGAGCGGCCGAUGUCAGAUUAGGUAGUUGGGGGGGUAAAGGCUCACCAAGCCAACGAUCUGUAGCUGGUCUGGGAGGACGACCAGCCACACUGGGACCGAGACACGGCCCAGACUCCUACGGGAGGCAGCAGUGGGGAAUUUUGGACAAUGGGCGAAAGCCUGAUCCAGCAAUGCCGCGUGCAGGAAGAAGGCCUUCGGGUUGUAAACUGCUUUUGUACGGAGCGAAAAGGCCCUCUCUAAUACAGUGGGCUCAUGACGGUACCGUAAGAAUAAGCACCGGCUAACUACGUGCCAGCAGCCGCCGUAA
rnacentral:rRNA from 1 species